rnacentral:ncRNA from 2 species
GUUUACUUGUCGGAGUGCCCUUUUUGGGGCUGAGAUCGCAUCAUUGCGGGAUCCGUGAACCUGAUCAGGAUUAUACCUGCGUAGGGAACAAGCAGCUAACAGCU